AUGAAGGUCUUAGGAUCGUAAAGCACUUUCGCCAGGGAUGAUAAUGACAGUACCUGGUAAAGAAACCCCGGCUAACUCCGUGCCAGCAGCCGCGGUAAUACGGAGGGGGUUAGCGUUGUUCGGAAUUACUGGGCGUAAAGCGUACGUAGGCGGAUCAGAAAGUUGGGGGUGAAAUCCCGGGGCUCAACCCCGGAACUGCCUCCAAAACUCCUGGUCUUGAGUUCGAGAGAGGUGAGUGGAAUUCCAAGUGUAGAGGUGAAAUUCGUAGAUAUUUGGAGGAACACCAGUGGCGAAGGCGGCUCACUGGCUCGAUACUGACGCUGAGGUACGAAAGUGUGGGGAGCAAACAGGAUUAGAUACCCUGGUAGUCCACACCGUAAACGAUGAAUGCCAGUCGUCGGGCAGUAUACUGUUCGGUGACACACCUAACGGAUUAAGCAUUCCGCCUGGGGAGUACGGUCGCAAGAUUAAAACUCAAAG
rnacentral:rRNA from 1 species